GAUGAAGAACGCAGCGAAAUGCGAUACGUAAUGUGAAUUGCAGAAUUUAGUGAAUCAUCGAAUCUUUGAACGCAUAUUGCGCUCUCUGGUAUUCCGGAGAGCAUGCUUGUUUGAGUAUCAGUAAACACCUCAACUUCCAUAUCUUUUUUGAAAUGGGAGUUGGACUUGAGUGAUCCCAACGCUUUUCCUCACCGAAAAGUGGCGGGUUACUUGAAAUGCAGGUGCAGCUGGACUUUUCUCUGAGCUAUAAGCAUAUCUAUUUAGUCUGCCUAAAAAACAGAUUAUUACCUUUGCUGCAGCUAACAUAAAGGAGAUUAGUUCUUGUGCUGACUGAUGCAGGAUUCACAAAGACAGGCUUCGGCCGACUUUGUAAACUCGAUCUCAAAUCAAGUAAGACUACCCGCUGAACUUAAGCAUAUCAAUAAGCGGAGGA
rnacentral:misc_RNA from 1 species